AACGAACGCUGGCGGCAGGCCUAACACAUGCAAGUCGAGCGCGCCUUCGGGUGAGCGGCGGCCGGGUGAGUAACGCGUGGGAAUAUGCCCUUCUCUACGGAAUAGUCCUGGGAAACUGGGGGUAAUACCGUAUACGCCCUUUGGGGGAAAGAUUUAUCGGGGAAGGAUUAGCCCGCGUUGGAUUAGGUAGUUGGUGGGGUAAUGGCCUACCAAGCCGACGAUCCAUAGCUGGUUUGAGAGGAUGAUCAGCCACACUGGGACUGAGACACGGCCCAGACUCCUACGGGAGGCAGCAGUGGGGAAUCUUAGACAAUGGGGGCAACCCUGAUCGAGCCAUGCCGCGUGAGUGAUGAAGGCCUUAGGGUUGUAAAGCUCUUUCAGCUGGGAAGAUAAUGACGGUACCAGCAGAAGAAGCCCCGGCUAACUCCGUG
rnacentral:rRNA from 1 species